rnacentral:rRNA from 1 species
GAGUUUGAUCCUGGCUCAGAACGAACGCUGGCGGCGUGCCUUACACAUGCAAGUCGUGCGAGAACGGUUCCUUCGGAAACCUAGUAGAGCGGCGAACGCCUGAUUAAUACGUGAGCGAUCUACCCGAGGGUGGGGGAUACCCCAGGAAAACCUGGACCAAUACCGCGUACAGCGUCGGAAGUGGAUGCCCGACGUGAAAGCCGGCCUCUUCGAUGCUGGCGCGUUCGAAUGAGCUCGCGGCCUAUCAGUUGGUUGGUGGGGUAACGGCCUACCAAGGCUAUGACGGGUAGCUGACGUGAGAGCGUGAUCAGCCACAUUGGGACUGAGACACGGCCCAGACUCCUACGGGAGGCAGCAGUGGGGAAUAUUGCGCAAUGGGCGAAAGCCUGACGCAGCGACCCCGCGUGGGGGAGGAAGGCCCUAGGGUUGUAAACCCCUUUCAGCAGGGACGAAAAUGACGGUACCUGCAGAAGAAGCCCCGGCCAACUACGUGCCAGCAGCCGCGGUAACACGUAGGGGGCAAGCGUUGUCCGGAUUUAUUGGGCGUAAAGAGCUCGUAGGCGGUUGCGUAAGUCGGAUGUGAAAACUCAGGGCUCAACCCGGAGACGCCAUCCGAUUCUGCGCUGACUAGAGUCCGGUAGGGGAGCAUGGAAUUCCUGGUGUAGCGGUGAAAUGCGCAGAUAUCAGGAGGAACACCAGGGCGAAGGCGGUGCUCUGGGCCGGUACUGCCGCUCAGGAGCGAAAGCGUGGGUAGCGAACAGGAUUAGAUACCCUGGU